ACCCCCUUUUUCACACACACACACACCCUUGUUAACCUAGCCCUACGUCACUCUCAAAAAUCACGGUCUUUACUCUCAAACCCUCUCCUCUCACGGACUCACGGUCUCACCAUUUACCACCGUCGACUGCCACCGCCACCUCCUAUCCUCUCAGUCCCUCACCGCUGCCUCUUACGGACUCUCGACGUCACCGUCACCGCUCAUCACCGUAGCAGAGAGUGCAUCCUUGAGCCCUCGCUGUCUUCCAGUGUUUGCCAUCUUUGCCGUCUUCGAGUUGGAGUGUCGGAGCGUCGGAGCAUCUUCUCAUCGUCACGUCUUUGCCGGUCUUCGUGUCUUCGCUGGUCUUUGCGUCGGAGUCUCUGCGCCUCUUUUCUGUCUUCGCCGAUCUUUACCAUCAGCUGCUCUUCCGUCUGACAUGACGACAGGUAGUAGAGGUAGGUCGAGUGGGUCACGUGGUCGUGGUAGAGGGUGGGCUUCCACCGAAUCCCCAAGGACUGCCCAGUCAUCGCCCUUUACUCCGAAUAUCUCGUCGACCCCUGUGAUGUCACAGGCGGGUUCGGCGGACCAACAAUUCAUCAUGGUCCCAAACCCUAACUAUGUGCCUCCUUCUGCUACGUCCCUUGCAGAUCCAUCGACGACAGAGUCCGCGGUGGGUGAUUUCUCCAAUGCCCCCAGCAGGAUGCCUUUCCACCAUCGCUCGUCAUCUGGCUGAGGAUUUGGCCCGAUGGCAUGUAGACAUGAGUUUGCACCAAACCCUAAUGCUUGCACACAGGAGAUCUCCAACGUCAUUAAAUCGAUGUACGACCACCCGUGGCCGACCUACACGUAGAUUCUAGCUGAGACAAGAGAUCGAUGAUUUCAGAAGUAGGUGUUGAAAUUCAUAUGGGAUGCGGAGCAUAAUCUCAUGAUCAGGAAGAUCUACGACCACCAGGCAGUUAAACAUUUUCAGCAGCUGAUGAGCGACAUUCGUAAGGGGUGCGACCACCUAACGUCGUGGAUCCCUCCAGCCAUCAAGAAGGAACUAGAGGCCUAUUUUACUCAUGAUGAGGCGUUCAAGCAGACGAACCUCGCUAACAGGCUUUGCCCAGAUCAUCGAACUGACCUUCAUGAAGACAAAGAACAGACUGUCUAAUUCGUUAGACCGUGAGGCGACACUGGCAGAGACCUUCAAGUAUACCCUUAUUUUGAAGGCCAACAAGGAGAGAUUUACUGACGAGCGGUCAGUAGCCCAUUAUGAGGAUUACACGCAGAGGUUAGAGGUCGCGACCCAACAAUCUCAGUUGCCUAAUGAGAACGACGAGGCCGACUCCCGCUACAAGAAAAACUCUAAAUACCAUCGGAUUUACUGUCGGACAUAAGCGUCGGAUUUACCGUCGGAUUUGAUUUUCCAAUGGUAAAUUCGACAGUAAUAAUUGGAGGAAAAACAAAAAAAAUUGGUGCCGAGAUUACCAUGGAAGUUACUGUCGGAUUUAUCUGCCGGUAAAGCUCAAUUAAUGGAACACUGUAUUUUGGUCAUACACAAUGCAUUACCAUCGGAUUUAUCCGCCAGUAAAUCCAAUGGUAAACCUAAUCUAAAUUCGAAAUGUGCGGCCCUCUCCCUUCACUUUUGAGAAUACUCUUCUCUUUCUCCCAUUCUCCUCUCUCUUCUCUCUCCCCUGCAAUUACCUCUAGUAGCUCCUCCGGCCACCCUCCGCCAGGGCUGCUCACUUCCAUUCUCCUCUAAAGUGUACGUCAAGUCACCUGUAUCGUGUUUCGUUGUCUCAAAUGAAAUCGCUCCUUCUGUCUCCGCCAUUAUUGGAAGAGCUGCCAUUGCUGCUCCCUCUGUUGUCAGAGUUGUGUCCCUCUUCCGUCGUUUAGUUCCACCUCUGCCUCUGGUUCCUCUGCUACGGCUGCUUCAGUUGUCGCCUGCAUCCCCUUCAUUCUAUUUCUUCCGCUUCUGGUUACCCUGCUCAGCUCCUCUGUCUGUGUUUUUGCUAAGGACAAACGCCUCAGGGUGAAGGGACCCGUGAGGAUGCCCACUAAGGUUCUUCACAUCACUACCAAGAAAUCUCCUUGUAGUGAAGGUAAAUUUUUCAUUGCUCCUUCCACAAUUUUUAUCAUCCUGCACUAUUUUGUAAUUUUGUGUUUUUUUUCUAAUUGAAUCUGUCUCUUAUAUUUGGAUAUCAUUCAUUAUAAAAUUUUAAAGUAUUUUGAAUUGGAAAGGUUAUCUAUUUUAAUGCUUGGAUAGUUAGAUAAUAAUUAUUCUCAAAUUUAUACAAAUGAUGAUACUCUUACUAUUGUUUGAGUAUUUGAUGCAAGUUAUUUGUUAGAAUUUUGAGUUUCAGUGGAUUCAUGUUAGUUUUAUGUUGUUGUGGUUAGUUCAUAUUAUAUUUGUGAUUUGUUGUGUUGUUUUUUGGUUUGUCCAUGAGUUACUUUGAAGAUGAGUUCAUGAAGAUUGUAGGCAGUGAAUAGACCUUCUGGCGUGCCGCCUUGCUUCUCUUCAAUGGCUUCUAGGUGAUAUCAACUCCUACUCCUCCAAAACUCUGUUGAUCAUUUACCCAUAGUUUAUCUAGAAGAAUGCUUACAAGCUGUUCUUACGUGCAAAAGGAAAGAGUUUGUUUGUUCUUUGCAUUGUUUUUACUUUGUUAGGCUGUCAAUUACGGUUUGCAUAAAUAUGUACCCUUCGUUUCUUUAAUUAUGCAUUAUGGCAGGGCAAGCUCUUCAGCUGUCUUGUCUCCAGGUUCAAGAUUGUGUCAAUGUGGUGAAGAGAAGGUUUUACUUGUAUGGAAAAAAGAUAAAAACCUUGGGAGAUAGGUGUCCAAAUUGGAAAUUUCCGAGACCUCAGUGGUAGAUCCUGAUAGGAUUUGGUGCAAGACCGCUUCUAAACUCCACAAGAAUUGUCGCUUCGGGUUGGAGUCAUUCUUCGCCAGUAGUCUACAUUCCUCCACGUUGGCGACUUCCUCUGCCUCUGCCACCAGCUUUACCGAUCCCUAGAAAGUUGUCGACUUGAAGGAAGAGGUACAGAUGCUAACAACAGGAGCCAUUGCCAUCAUUUCGGACUUGACGGAGAAGCUGCAGCAGCUCGAUCGGUUGUGAGAGCAGAUGGAGGAGUACAACCAACAGAUGCGUGUACAACCAGCAGAUGUGUGCUGGAGGCAGUGGCAACACUGGUUCCAGCGGCAAUGCUGGUUCCAGUGGCAAUGUUGCUGGUGGGACACCGACGUCAACACCUACUCCGCUGCCUCAGCAGAAGGACCACGAUGACAACGACAACGAUUACCAAGAUCUGUAGAGGUUUUAUUUUUUUUGUCUACUUUAUUGUAUUUUACUUUUGUGACAUUUUAGAUAUUUAGACAAUUUAUUUUUAAUAAAAUAAUUUGUUGAUUUA